rnacentral:rRNA from 1 species
GGGUUGUGAGGUUAAGCGACUAAGCGUACACGGUGGAUGCCCUGGCAGUCAGAGGCGAUGAAGGGCGUGCUAAUCUGCGAUAAGCGCCGGUAAGGUGAUAUGAACCGUUAUAACCGGCGAUACCCGAAUGGGGAAACCCAGUGUGACUCGUCACACUAUCAUUAACUGAAUCCAUAGGUUAAUGAGGCGAACCGGGGGAACUGAAACAUCUAAGUACCCCGAGGAAAAGAAAUCAACCGAGAUUCCCCCAGUAGCGGCGAGCGAACGGGGAGGAGCCCAGAGCCUGAAUCAGCAUGUGUGUUAGUGGAAGCGUCUGGAAAGGCGCGCGAUACAGGGUGACAGCCCCGUACACAAAAGCGCACAUGCUGUGAGCUCGAUGAGUAGGGCGGGACACGUGGUAUCCUGUCUGAAUAUGGGGGGACCAUCCUCCAAGGCUAAAUACUCCUGACUGACCGAUAGUGAACCAGUACCGUGAGGGAAAGGCGAAAAGAACCCCGGCGAGGGGAGUGAAAAAGAACCUGAAACCGUGUACGUACAAGCAGUGGGAGCCCCACCACCAAAGCAUUCUCUGGUGUUGAAGGCCCUGCAAAGCAGCAUCGCGGUGGCGGAGCGUCGUUUGCGACGCCCAACACACAAAACAAGCGGUGAGUGCUUUGGGGUGGGGUGACUGCGUACCUUUUGUAUAAUGGGUCAGCGACUUAUAUUCUGUAGCAAGGUUAACCGAAUAGGGGAGCCGGAGGGAAACC